AGAGAGAGAGAGAAAUAAAAGGAAUAAGCACAGCAAGCCCUCAGACUUCCAGCCGAGACGAGAAGGCACUGGGAUAGCCACUGGGAUAGUCAUGCCUGAAGCCGCUGAUGCAGUGAAGCCGGAGGGCGAGGAGGGAGAAGCACCAGCAGAAGCCGAAGAAAAUACUGCAGAAGAUGAUGAGCCACUGCCUGAAGGAGAGGAGGGUGCCCAUCAGUCACAGGAGAUUACAGGACUGUUUCUUCAGCACCCUGAGACUACGGUUGCCAUAACAGGUACGGACAUUGUGUUUACUGCCAAAGUGGACUCUACUACACUAUCAAGGAAACCCACCAUUAAAUGGCUGAAGGGGAAGUGGCUGGACCUGGGCAGCAAAGCAGGAAAACACAUGCAGUUCAAAGAGACUUUUGACAGAGCCACAAAGAUCUACACCUGGGACAUGAAGAUAAUCAAGGUGGUCCCUGGUGACGCUGGGGCCUACAGGUGUGAGGUCACCUCCAAAGACAAGUGUGACAGCAGCGCUUUCGACAUCUCCGUGGAGGCUGUGCAAAUUGAGGAGGAACAUGAUUCUUUGGCCGCAUUCAAAAGAACGGAUGCUGGAGAGGAUGAAGGCAGUUUGGAUUUCAGUGCUUUGCUGAAAGCUACCAAGAAGAAGAAGAAGCCAGUCGUAGAUGAGGAGAAGGCAGACGUGUGGGAAAUCCUGAAGAACGCUCAACCCAGCGAGUAUGAGAAGAUUGCUUUUGAGUACGGCAUUACAGACCUGAGGGGUCUGCUCAAGCGACUGAAGAAGAUGAAGACUGUUGAGCCCAAGCACAGCGACGCUUUCCUAAAGAGAAUGGAGUCUGCCUACUCUGUGGAUAAGGGCAAGAAAAUCGUACUGCAGGUGGAAGUGGUUGACCCAAAUGCCCAGGUCAAAUGGUUGAAGAACGGUCAGGAGAUAAAAUCAUCAGCCAAGUACAUCAUAGAAUCAGUUGGCAACAUCAGGACGCUCACCAUCAACAAGUGUAGCCUGGCUGACGACGCUGCGUACGAGUGUGUGAUUGGGGAAGAGAAGUCCUUCACAGAGGUGUUUGUCAAAGAGCCCCCGGUCACCAUCACCAAGCUGCUGGAUGAUUACCACGUGGUGGUGGGAGAGAGAGUGGAGUUUGAGGUGGAGGUGUCUGUGGAGGGAGCACACGUUAACUGGAUGUUUGAGGACCAAGAACUCUCCAGGGACACCCAUAAGUACCGCUUUAAGAAGGACGGGUUGAAGCACAUGCUCAUCAUCCAAGAGGCUACGCUGGAUGACAUUGGAAUGUACUGGUGCUUCACCAACGGCGGGCGAACCAAAGGAGAGCUAGAAGUUGAAGAGAAAGAACUGGAGGUGUUGCAGAACAUCGCUGACCUGACGGUGAAGGCCGAGGACCAGGCCAUGUUCAAGUGUGAGGUGUCUGAUGAGAAGGUAACAGGGAAAUGGCUCAAAGAUGGCGUGGAGGUGCUGCCCAGCAGUCGCAUCAAGCUGACCCACAUCGGAAGAAUCCAUCGGCUUACCAUAGACGACGUCAAGCCCGAGGACGCUGGAGACUAUACCUUUAUCCCAGACGGAUAUGCCCUCUCACUGUCCGCCAAACUCAACUUCCUGGAAAUUAAGAUCGACUAUGUCCCCCGCCAAGAGCCACCCAAGAUCCAUCUAGACACCACCGGCAACAUGGUUUCCCAGAACACCAUCAUUGUGGUGGCUGGCAACAAGCUGCGCCUGGACGUGGAGAUCUCUGGAGAGCCUCCUCCCACUGUCGUCUGGGCAAAGGGAGACACGGCAAUCACAGCUGUGGAGGGGCGUGUGAGGACUGAGAGCCGGAAGGACCUGAGCUGCUUCGUCAUAGAGGGGGCAGAGAGAGAGGAUGAGGGCAACUACACCAUCAUUGUCACCAACCCUGCCGGAGAGGACAAGGCUCAUCUGUUUGUCAAGAUUGUUGAUGUGCCUGACUGCCCUGAGAAUGUAAAGUGUACCUCGGUGGGAGAAGACUGUGCCACCAUGGUCUGGGACCCACCCAAGUUCGACGGAGGCGCACCAGUCACAGGCUAUCUCAUGGAGAGGAAGAAGAAGGGCUCCACCAGGUGGACGAAGCUCAACUUUGACGUGUACGAGGGGGUGACGUACGAAGCCAAGAGGAUGAUUGAGGGCGUGCUCUACGAGAUGAGAGUGUACGCCGUCAAUGGCAUUGGCAUGUCCCAGCCCAGCCUCAAUUCCAAACCCUUCAUGCCCAUCGCUGCAACCAGUGAGCCUCUGGGCCUCAAGGUGCAUGAUGUCACAGACACCACAUGUACCCUGAAGUGGCUGGCCCCUGAGAAGAUCGGUGCCGGAGGCCUGGACGGAUACGUUAUUGAGUACUGCAAGGAGGGAGACACGGAGUGGGUGGUGGCGAACACUGAGCUGGUGGAGAGACAGAAUUACACAGUCCGCAACCUCCCCACCGCGGAGAAGAUCAACUUCAGAGUGGUGGCCGUGAACAUUGCUGGACGCAGCCCCCCCUACCGGCCUGAGCCAGCCCGUCACUAUCCGCGAGAUCGUGGAACUGCCCAAGAUCCGCCUCCCUCGCUACUUGAGACAGAAGUACAUUAGAAGAGUGGGCGACAAAAUCAACCUGACCAUCCCCUUCCAGGGUAAGCCACGUCCCAAAGUGCAAUGGUACAAGGAUGGGGAAGAGCUUGACACUCGAGUUGCCAGCAUACGCAAUUCCGAAGUGGACUCUAUCCUGUUCAUCCGCUCGGCUGAGAGAUCCCACUCUGGGAAGUACGAGUUGGUCCUGCAGAUUGAGAACAUGGAGGCCAGGGCUAUUCUGGAAAUCAGGAUCGUAGAGGCACCUGGGCCUCCCGAGGUAGUGAAGGUCACAGACGUUUGGGGCUUCAACGCUGCGCUGGAGUGGAAGCCACCGAAGGACGACGGCAACUGCGAGAUCACCGGUUACACAAUACAGAAGGCGGACAAGAAGACAAAUGAAUGGUUCACUAUCUACGAGCACAACAGGAGGACAAACUGCACAGCCUCAGACCUGAUCAUGGGAAAUGAGUACAUGUUCCGUGUCUUCAGCGAGAACCUCGUUGGAAAGAGUGAGGAUUUCUGCCUCAGCAAGGACACAGCCAUCAUACCUAAGAUAGGAUUGGAGUACAACCCACCUCCAUUCAAGGAGAAGGAUAUGCAAAGCGCCCCCAAGUUCAUACAGCCCCUGCUUGACAGGUCUGUGGUGGCAGGCUACAGUACCGCCAUCAGCUGUGCUGUCAGGGGCUUCCCCAAGCCUAAGAUCAGGUGGUUGAGGAAUAAGAUUCCCCUGGACGAGAACCCUAGGUUCCUGAUGCAGAACAACCAGGGGGUUUUGACCCUGAACAUCCGCAAGCCCAGUCAGUAUGACGGGGGCAAGUUCACCUGCAAGGCUAUCAACUCUUUGGGGGAGGACGUCGUGGAGUGCACCCUACUCGUACGAGCUCUCAAGGACAAGGAAGAUGGAGACGAGAAAUGAGCUACAGAAUGUUCACAAAACAUUCACAAUGUUUCAGUAGGUUUUGAAGCAUGCAUUGAAAUAAAAAAUACUUGAAGUUU